UACGUAGGGGGCAAGCGUUAUCCGGAUUUACUGGGUGUAAAGGGAGCGUAGACGGCUGUGCAAGCCAGAUGUGAAAGCCCGGGGCUCAACCCCGGGACUGCAUUUGGAACUGUGUAGCUGGAGUGUCGGAGAGGCAGGCGGAAUUCCUAGUGUAGCGGUGAAAUGCGUAGAUAUUAGGAGGAACACCAGUGGCGAAGGCGGCUUACUGGACCGUAACUGACGUUGAGGCUCGAAAGCGUGGGGAGCAAACAGG
rnacentral:rRNA from 1 species